CCUACGGGUGGCUGCAGUGAGGAAUAUUGGUCAAUGGACGAGAGUCUGAACCAGCCAAGUAGCGUGAAGGAUGACUGCCCUAUGGGUUGUAAACUUCUUUUAUAAAGGAAUAAAACGAGGCACGUGUGCCUUUUUGUAUGUACUUUAUGAAUAAGGAUCGGCUAACUCCGUGCCAGCAGCCGCGGUAAUACGGAGGAUCCGAGCGUUAUCCGGAUUUAUUGGGUUUAAAGGGAGCGUAGAUGGGUUGUUAAGUCAGUUGUGAAAGUUUGCGGCUCAACCGUAAAAUUGCAAUUGAUACUGGCAGUCUUGAGUACAGUAGAGGUAGGCGGAAUGCGUGGUGUAGCGGUGAAAUGCUUAGAUAUCACGAAGAACCCCGAUUGCGAAGGCAGCUUACUAAACUGUGACUGACAUUGAUGCUCGAAAGUGUGGGUAUCAAACAGGAUUAGAUACCCUAGUAGUC
rnacentral:rRNA from 1 species